GUGCUUGCUUCAGCAACACAUAUACUAAAAUUGGAACGAUACAGAGAAGAUUAGCAUGGCUCCUGCGUGCAAGGAUGACAUUCAAAUUCGUGAAGCGUUCCAUAUUUUU
rnacentral:snRNA from 1 species